AGAGUUUGAUCAUGGCUCAGAUUGAACGCUGGCGGAAUGCUUUACACAUGCAAGUCGAACGGCAGCAUAGAGAGCUUGCUCUCUGAUGGCGAGUGGCGAACGGGUGAGUAAUAUAUCGGAACGUGCCUAGUAAUGGGGAAUAACUAGCUGAAAGGUUAGCUAAUGCCGCAUACGACCUACGGGUGAAAGCAGGGGAUCUUCGGACCUUGCGUUAUUAGAGCGGCCGAUAUCUGAUUAGCUUGUUGGUGGGGUAAUGGCCUACCAAGGCGACGAUCAGUAGCUGGUCUGAGAGGACGAUCAGCCACACUGGAACUGAGACACGGUCCAGACUCCUACGGGAGGCAGCAGUGGGGAAUUUUGGACAAUGGGGGCAACCCUGAUCCAGCCAUUCCGCGUGAGUGAAGAAGGCCUUCGGGUUGUAAAGCUCUUUCGCAAGAGAAGAAAACUUACUAUCUAAUAAAUAGUAAGUAUGACGGUAUCUUGACAAGAAGCACCGGCUAACUACGUGCCAGCAGCCGCGGUAAUACGUAGGGUGCAAGCGUUAAUCGGAAUUACUGGGCGUAAAGCGUGCGCAGGCAGUUUUAUAAGUCAGAUGUGAAAUCCCCGAGCUCAACUUGGGAACUGCGUUUGAAACUGUAAGACUAGAGUGUGUCAGAGGGGGGUAGAAUUCCAAGUGUAGCAGUGAAAUGCGUAGAGAUUUGGAGGAAUACCAAUGGCGAAGGCAGCCCCCUGGGAUAACACUGACGCUCAUGCACGAAAGCGUGGGGAGCAAACAGGAUUAGAUACCCUGGUAGUCCACGCCCUAAACGAUGUCUACUAGUUGUUGGUGGAGUAAAAUCCAUGAGUAACGCAGCUAACGCGUGAAGUAGACCGCCUGGGGAGUACGGUCGCAAGAUUAAAACUCAAAUGAAUUGACGGGGGCCCGCACAAGCGGUGGAGCAUGUGGUUUAAUUCGACGCAACGCGCAGAACCUUACCAACCCUUGACAUACUUGUCGCGGAUUCCAGAGAUGGAUUCCUUCAGUUCGGCUGGACAAUGUACAGGUGCUGCAUGGCUGUCGUCAGCUCGUGUCGUGAGAUGUUCGGUUAAGUCCGGCAACGAGCGCAACCCACGUCCUUAGUUACCAGCAUUUAGUUGGGUACCCUAAGGAGACUGCCGGUGAUAAGCCGGAGGAAGGUGUGGACGACGUCAAGUCAUCAUGGCCCUUACGGGUUGGGCUACACACGUGCUACAAUGGCAUCUACAGUGAGUUAAUCUCCAAAAGAUGUCUCAGUUCGGAUUGGGGUCUGCAACUCGACCCCAUGAAGUUGGAAUCGCUAGUAAUCGCGGAACAGCAUGCCGCGGUGAAUACGUUCCCGGGCCUUGUACACACCGCCCGUCACACCAUGGGAAUUGGGUCUACCCGAAGGUGGUGCGCCAACUAUUUAUAGGGGCAGCCAACCACGGUAGGUUCAGUGACUGGGGUGAAGUCGUAACAAGGUAGCCGUAGGGGAACCUGCGGCUG
rnacentral:rRNA from 1 species